UACAGAGGGUGCGAGCGUUAAUCGGAAUUACUGGGCGUAAAGCGUGCGUAGACGGCUAUCUAAGUCGGGUGUGAAAGCCCCGGGCUCAACCUGGGAAUUGCAUUCGAGACUGAAUAGCUAGGGUACGGUAGAGGGAAGCGGAAUUUCCGGUGUAGCGGUGAAAUGCGUAGAUAUCGGAAGGAACACCUGUAGCGAAGGCGGCUCUCUGGACUCAAACUGACGCUGAGGCACGAAAGCGUGGGUAGCGAACAGG
rnacentral:rRNA from 1 species